rnacentral:rRNA from 1 species
GACGAACGCUGGCGGCGUGCCUAAUACAUGCAAGUCGAACGCAGUGGGGACGGGUGAGUAACACGUGGGUAACCUCCCAUCAGAGGGGAUAACACUUGGAAACAGGUGCUAAACCGAUACUGAUGGAUGGACCCGCGGUGCAUUAGCUAGUUGGUGAGGUAACGGCUAACCAAGGCCACGAUGCAUAGCCGACCCGAGAGUGUGGUUGGCCACACGGGGACUGAGGCACUGCCCAGAAUCCUACGGGAGGUAGCAGUAGGGAAGCUUCGGCAAUGGACGAAAGGCUUACCGAGCAACUCCGCGUGGGUGAAGAAGGUUUUCGGAUCGUAAAACUCUGUUGUUAGAGAAUCGGUAUCUAACCAGAAAGCCAAGGGUAACUACGUGCCAGCAGCCGCGGGAAUUC